GUUCUGUACCAUCACUCAUUCAUAUAUCUUUAUGUACAUAUUCUUUAUCCCUUUACACUUGUGUGUAUAAGGUAGUAGUUGUGGAAUUGUUAGGUUAGAUUACUCGUUGGUUAUUACUGCAUUGUCAGAACUAGAAGCACAAGCAUUUCGCUACACUCGCAUUAACAUCUGCUAACCAUGUGUAUGUGACAAAUAAAAUUUGAUUUGAUUUGAUACAGAGAAAGGAGUCUGCCCGAGAAUUGAACCCUGUUGCACCCCCAUAGAGACUGCCAGAGGUCCAGACAACAGGCCCUCUGAUUUGACACACUGAACUCUAUCUGAGAAGUAGUUGGUGAACCAGGCGUGGCAGUCAUUUGAGAAACCAAGGCUGUUGAGUCUGCCAAUAAGAAUAUGGUGAUUGACAGAGUCGAAAGCCUUGGCCAGGUUGAUGAAUACGGCUGCACAGUAUUGUCUGUUAUCAAUGGCGGUUAUGAUAUAGUUUAGGACCUUGAGUGUGGCUGAGGUGCACCCAUGACCAGCUCAGAAACCAGAUUGCAGAGCGGAAAAGGUAUGGUGAGAUUUGAAAUGGUCUGUGAUCUGUUAGUUAACUUGGUUGUCGAAGACUUUAGAAAGGCAGGGUAGGAUAGAUAUAGGUCUGUAACAGUUUGGGUCUAGAGUGUCUCCCCCUUUGAAGAGGGGGAUGACCGUGGCAGGUUUCCAAUCUUUAGGGAUCUCAGACGGUAUGAAAGAGAGGUUGAACAGGCUAGUAAUAGGGGUUGCAACAAUUGCGGCUGAUAAUUUUAGAAAGAGAGGGUCCAGAUUGUCUAGCCCAGCUCAUUUGUAGGGGUCCAGAUUUUGCAGCUCUUUCAGAACAUCAGCUGUCUGGAUUUGGAUGAAGGAGAAAUGGGGGAGGCUUGGGCAAGUUUCUGUGGGGUGCAGAGCUGUUUACAAGGGUAAGGGUAGCCAGGUGGAAAGCAUGGUCUUCUGUAGAAAAAUGCUUAUUGAAAUUCUCAAUUAUCGUAGAUUUAUUGGUGGUGACAGUGUUUCCUAGCCUCAGUGCAGUGGGCAGCUGGGAGGAGGUGCUCUUAUUCUCCAUGGACUUUACAGUGUCCCAGAACCUUUUGGAGUUUGUGCUACAGGAUGCACAUUUCUGUUUAAAAAAGCUAGACUUUGCUUUCCAAACUGCCUGUGUAUAUUGGUUCCUAACUACCCUGAAAAGUUGCAUAUCGCGGAGGCUGUUCGAUGCUAAUGCAAUACGUCACAGGAUGUUUUUGUGCUGGUCAAGGGCAGUUAAGCAUAUCCCAGUUUAGGUCACCUAACAGUACAAACUCUGUAGAUAAAUGGGGGCCAAUUACACAUAGGGUGUCCAGGGCACAGCUGGGGGCAGAGGGUGGUCUAAAACAAGCGAAAACGGUGAGAGACUUAUUUCUAGAAUGGUGGGUUUUUAAAAGAAGAAGCUCAAACUGUUUGGGCACAGACCUGGAUAGUAAGACAGAACUCUGCAGGCUAUCUCUGCAGUAGAUUGCAACUCCACCCCCUUUGGCAGUUCUAUCUUGGCGGAAAAUGUUGUAGUUGGGGAUCGAAAUUUCAUAAUUUUUGGUGGCCUUCCUAAGCCAAAAUUCAGACACGGCUAGGACAUCAAGGGUUGGCUAAGUGUGCUAAAGCAGUGAAUAAAACAAACUUAUGGAGAAGGCUUCUGAUGUUAACAUGCAUGAAACCAAGGCUUUUAUGGUUACAGAAGUCAACAAAUGAUAGCGCCUGGGAAUAGGAUUGGAACUGGGGGCUGCAGGGCCUGGGUUAACCUCUUCAUCACCAAAGGAACAGAGGAGGAAUAGGAUAAGGGUACGGCUAAAGGCUAUAAGAACUGGUCAUCUAGUGUGUUGGGGACAGAGAAUAAAAGGAGCAGAUUUCUGGGCGUGGUAGAAUAGAUUCAAGGCUAAAUUUACAGACAAGGGUAUGGUAGGAUGUGAGUACAGUGUAGGUAAAACUAGGCGUUGAGUGAUGUUGAGAGUGGUUUAGUCUCUGGAGGCACCAGUUAAGAAAGGUGAGGUCUCCGCAUGUGUGUGGGGUGGGACAAAAGAGCUAUCUAAGGCAUCCUGAGCAGGAUUGAAGGCUCUACAGUGAAAUAAAACAGUAAAAACUAGCCAAGACAGCAGUAGACAAGGCAUAUUGACAUUAGAGAGAGGCAUAAAACAAUCACAUGCAUUGGUCAGGAGAGCUAAGACAACAACGGAUAAAUGGCGAAGAAUGGGAAAAGCGGGUAAGUUAGGUACAUACAGGACCUGAGUUCGAGGCUGGGGCCGACAGGUAAACAAAAUGAGGUGUUAUUGAAACAGUCCAGGGGGCAUGUGUAACCGAGUGAUCAUAGGGUCAAAAGAGCAGCAAUAGGUGAGUCAUGGUGCAGUUCGGUAGUCACUACUGCACUAGGUGAGCAGGGGACACGGCGUUCAGAAAAGCUAGCGGGCCGAGGCUAGUAGAUGGAUCUUCGGGGACAUCGUAACAGAAUAGCCUGUUGAGACUACAUCGGGUGAUCAUGUCGGCAGUCCAGUCAUCAUCGGCGGGGCUCCGUGUCGACAAUAAGGGGUUCAGGCCUAUUGGCAAAGAAGGUAUUGUAGCCCUAGAAUUAGCUGGUAUAUGGGCCUAGAUUGAGGCUAGCUCAAGACUAGCUGGUGCUUGCUUCGGGACAGAGGCGUUAGCUAACAGUAGUCACUCGUUUCAGCUAGCUAUCUGCGAUGAUCCGGAGUGAUGAUCGGGUGUAAUGAUCCAGAGCGACAGGAAUGCGGUGAUAUGGUAGAGAGAAGUGGUGCGAGAUGCUCUGGGUUGAUAUCACGCUGUGCAGACUGGCAAGUGUUGUCCGAGCUAAGGCUGGCUGAUGAUGGGGAAAAAAGGCGAGGACCGCUAGCCGUGGCUAACAAAGACUAGUAGCUAGUUAGCUGGCUAGCUCUUGAUGGAAGUCCUAGUUAUAAGGAAUAAAAAUAGCAGAUCCGUACCACAUUGGGUGAGGCGGGUUGCAGGAAAGUAUAUUUAGUUUGUAGAUAGAAAGUGAGAUUAAGAUAUAUACAAAAAAGACAGUCUAUUUACACGGGAUAAGACACGGGAUAAGACAAAGACAGAUACAUUCGUCCUACUGCAGCACCAUCUUGGAUAGCAUGAUAUACGGUAACGUGGUUCUAAUCUAGAUUAUGGAUUGAUCAUAUACAAAUAUCAAACAGUUAUUUUAACAACUGCAAAGCAAUUUCAUGUGGUGCAGCAACCACUGACUUGCUGCAUUUUUCUAUUUUCAAGACACUUGCUGGUAACUCGUUACUGGUUAGGACAUCUCCUGAGGUGUCCUAAAUAUCUGUUGACUAGGUGAGACGCUUAUGACUAAAGAGGUUAAGCUUUUAUUUUUACGCAUAAGAGUAGGUGUAAAAUGUUACUUACGACCAAUUUUCUACUUUGAGACGCUUCAUGGAUGCAGGCCCAGGUGUGGCCAAUUAGUGGGUGCGGCCAACACAUCUGAACACACUUAACAAGGAUUGAGAGAGUUUUGUUGACGCUGAGAAGGAAAUGUGUGUUUUUAAAUAAAAUUAUUAGAAUUUUCUUGAAACUUUACUAAUGUUUUCUUGUGGUUUUUAUGUGUUUUUUAUGGAAAGUUUUCCUAAUGUUUUGAGAACCUGCAGAAAACGUUAUGCUGAUCGACUGAAAUUCCUACAGAAGAAGGUUGUUUCUUAACGUUCUCUGAAUGUUCUGAGAACAUGACUUUAAAUAGAACCAUGAGGAAAUCUGUAGAAAACUUUAUGCUUCAGUGCUGAAAUUCCCACCUAAGAAACAUAUGGUUUUCAGAACCGUAUGUGCUAGCUGGGUAUCCUGCAUCCUUCCCAGAACAUUGUGGAGUUGUAUGCAAAAUAACCCUAGGACAAUGACGCUUUCACCAAGAAUAAGAAACACAUGGUUCUCAGAACGUUAUGUACUUGCUGGAAGCCUCAUCUAUUAUCUGCAAAUAACUAUACUUAUCAUUUGGCUAUGACUGAGUUCAUGACCUUUAGAAUAAUUAAGGUAAAUUGUAUGAAUUUAACCUGACUGAUUUGCUUAAAGAAAUCCAACUAAUUUGAAUGGUCUUUUGGAAACACCAAAUUGCGCAUUCGUGCCCUAGGGUAGAACUCACGGAGGAAGAUUAGACAAGCACCGCUACAUCUCUCCUAUUAACCUUGCCAGCUUUGAAUACAUCAAAAUAAGCACAUUUUACUUUUUAACAUCAGUCUUUCCCAAACUUCCCAUGUGCAACUAUGCAUUGGUAAAACAUAAAACAUUCUGAAAUAAUUUCUGGGCACUCUGGUGUUUUUGGCUCAGAAGGCUUAAUGGACCAUGAGCGAGAUUAGUUUCUUAUAACGGAAACGUUCCUCCUGCUCCUCCCACCCACCCACCCCUCCUGCUGUCACAUUAUGAUCUCACCCAAUGACACCACGGCGCGCUUCACUGUUAUAAAGACCUCAAACUGGCAGAGAAUCCCCUCCUUGAUGCACGGAGCUGGCGCCAGACUGGAUCAGCGUUAACUAUCUACACUCCUCUCUGAAAGGGACAAAGCUUUAUGGGAGAGUGAAAGACAGAAAAAGAGAGAGGGAAAGGGAAAGAGAGAGAAAAGAAGUAGGGAGUGAGAGAGGGAGAGAAAUACAGAUCUUUACUCCUCUGUUAAAGGGACAGAAUCCACUAGGUUACCAGGGGCUGUGUACCAAUGUUGUGACCCGGGUCAGGGUCUAAGUACAUUGGUCAGGGAUUAAGGGUCAGUGAUCAGGUGAUGUUUGGGGACUUGAUGCUUUCCCCAUUGGGUUGUCAGUCUCCGGUUUACAGCAUUGGGAACUGUGAGUAGGAGACAGAUCAACACCGGAGUAGAGGCACCAGAAAACAAAGCCGCAACCCUGUGAAGAAGAGAUGGAAGAGGAGGAGAGGAAGUGACAGAAGUGACAGGAGGGAUGUCAGCAGAGUGAGCAGCCCACCCAGGUCUCUGGAGGAUGUGCAGAGUCAGUGUGUCAUGGCCAACGUAUGGGAGCGACAGAGGACCCAGUCACUCAACCAGGUCUUCGCCUCACCACGAGAGAUCAUCCCUGCGCUGCCCUCAGACAAACUCAGCAAGAUGCAGACGCUCAAACUGGCCAUGCGGUAACAAGACUUCCUCCACCCCGUACUGCAGGGCAAGAGGAUGGAUCUGGAUUUGAAUGAGGGGCCUGCGUCUGCAGCAUCCAUCUGUGGUUAUGUGGCCCACGAGCAUCUGAGCUAUGCCUUCUCAGCAUGGAGGAGGGAGGAUGGAGG
ensembl:lncRNA